AGCUAGUCGGCGGGGUAACGGCCCACCGAGGCGACGAUGCGUAGGGGUUCUGAGAGGAAGGUCCCCCACACUGGUACUGAGACACGGACCAGACUCCUACGGGAGGCAGCAGUGAGGAAUAUUGGUCAAUGGGCGCGAGCCUGAACCAGCCAAGUCGCGUGAGGGAUGACGGUCCUACGGAUUGUAAACCUCUUUUGCCGGGGAGCAAGCGUGCGUUCGUGAACGCGCGUCGAGAGUACCCGGAGAAAAAGCAUCGGCUAACUCCGUGCCAGCAGCCGCGGUAAUACGGAGGAUGCGAGCGUUAUCCGGAUUUAUUGGGUUUAAAGGGUGCGUAGGCGGGAUGCCAAGUCAGCGGUAAAAAUGCGGUGCUCAACGCCGUCGAGCCGUUGAAACUGGCGUUCUUGAGUGGGCGAGAAGUAUGCGGAAUGCGUGGUGUAGCGGUGAAAUGCAUAGAUAUCACGCAGAACUCCGAUUGCGAAGGCAGCAUACCGGCGCCCUACUGACGCUGAGGCACGAAAGCGUGGGUAUCGAACAGGAUUAGAUACCCUGGUAGUCCACGCAGUAAACGAUGAAUGCUAACUGUCCGGCUCGAAUGAGCGCUGGGCGGU
rnacentral:rRNA from 1 species